AUCACGCAGCAGCAGAUGACACAUUUAGCCAGAAACUCCCUGAACUCAUCUCAUCACUCCUUCAAAAAGUUCAGAGCUCUGUCUGCUCAGUGACUCAGCAUUUUUCAGAGUGAAAGAGGUUGUAGGAAGUCACCAGAAAUCAAUUCCCCAGGAACACCCCCUUACAAGACACCUAGCAGCUUUCUGUGACAAGAACAACUUAACCUUGAGCAGCACACGUUCUGUUUGUGACAUUAGAGCUAUAGAAGCAUUUCUGGGUUGCCACAAGGAGGAAGCAGCUCUGACAGGCAUUCAUCCAUACAUGUAUGAGGCUUUCAGCUACCCGACAAAGCAUCCACAAGUUGACCAAGUUCAGCUCAGUGAACUUUACCCACUAGUAAAAUUAUUCAGGUUUUCAGCUAUGACUGGCUAUCACUGUUUGUUCCGCUUCAAUUCCUCCCUUCACUGUGUAGAAGACACAAGGCAGUUGUAAGACAAUGUACAGCUGGUAUUUUAUACACAGGAACACAUUCUCACAAGUGCAAAUUGGCACAGGAGUCUCAUCUGAGAGCUCUCAUGAAGGCAGGCAAGCUGGAAACCUGGCCUAGAGCCUCCAAAGCAAUGGAAGUACAGGAGGGUUCUUGGAAAUGAAAGGUACCUUCCCAGCCACAGUGGGCACUUGUGAGCACUAGCAAUGAAGUAGUGCUAACCUACAGAGCAGAAAAAAGUCAGCAAGGUUGCAUUUGAAUCUCUUGCAGCUCCAUCUGCUGCAACAC